GGGGGGGGCGUGUUCUUGCUGCGCGCUCGCCAAGCCGGGGCCCUGUGUUUUGAAGGGGGGUGCUGGAGGGGGGGGCUCUCCCCCUCUCGGGGUGUCGGCGGUCGCUGCAGACCCGCGGGGUCCCGGGGCGCCUCUGCGCGAGCGGGCCGCAGGUCCGAGCGGGGAGGGGGCGGGGUGGGGAAAGGUGAGGGAGGGGGAGAAGGGGAGGUCUGACUCUGGGGGGGGAAUGAGACGAGACUCUGCAGAAGGAUCUUGUAUAUUUUUUGUAGGGGAAGAGCGAGAGGGGACAGAGUCAAUCUUUGGAAAUAUUUUUGUAUAUUUUUGUAUUGGGGGUGAGAAGUGUGAGUGAGGGAGAGAAUGGGACCCUGCUGUGAUUUUUAACCAGGAAACAUUCUGUAUAUUUUGUAUCAAUGGAGAGAGAUUGUGUGGAGGGGAGGGGGGGGGUCAGGUUUAAUUUGGUCAUUUGUAGAAAUGUGUAAUUUUAAUUUAGCUGUGGGCUCGUUAAAGCACUUAAUUGGUUAUCUUAAGUUUUGUUUCCUAGCUCAGUGUGUGUCUGUCUCUGUGCUGGGCACAGCGAUGGAACAGGCUGGCGAGAGAGGUCUUGGGAGAGACGAGAGAAAGAGAAUGACAGUAGACGCAGGGGUGACGAGAGGGCAUUGGUUAUGGCAAGCAGUCUGAUGGAGCAUAGGGACAGAGGGACAGAGGACAGGCCACACAGACAGAGGGACAGAGACAGGAGACACAGACAGAGGGACAGGAUUCACGGACAGGACACAGGAUGGGGUCAGAGACAGAGUGGGACAGAGGACACACAGACAGGCCACAGGAGAGGGUCAGAGACAGAGUGGGACAGGCCACAGGAGAGUGUCAGAGCUGGAGUUAGUCUGGUCUCUCUCCUUGUCUGUGUGUCUGUCUCUCCGGAGGCCAAGACACACCAGGUUAGAAUUACCUCAGACAUGAAGCCGCCCUCUAAUACCUUUGUAAUAAUGGUUAUCUGUUCCUUUUUGUUGUUAUUAUUAGCAUUGUUAAUUCUUAUUGUUGUCAUGAUUAUAUAUAGAUAUUUUUUGCAUUUCUUCUGAGACUUUUGAAAGAAAUGCCCUCUCUCAUUUUCCCGACCUCCUUGUAUUUAAACACAAAAAAACUACACUUCCCAUGAACCUGUUCACUGCCGGCAUCAUCCACACGGAGAUUACACCGCUGCCUGAGGUGCAUUGUUGGUGAUGUAGUUUUGCUUUUUUGGGAUUUAGAAAAUGACAUGGGAGGUGAUGCCCUGUUUUGACUCCAGUCACUUGGAGGCUACUUCUUGGCCCCCAAGGGAUUGUGGGAGAUGGAGUCCAGACUGAGGCAAGGAGCUGAAACACAACUGCACGGUACUUUUGAACUAGUUAUGCAAACCACAACUCCCAUGGGGCUUUUGUCCAUCAUCGUUAAUCACAGUGAAUUUCCUGCCUUG
rnacentral:lncRNA from 1 species